rnacentral:rRNA from 1 species
GAUGAACGCUGGCGGCGUGCUUAACACAUGCAAGUCGAACGGAAAGGCUCCUGCUUGCAGGGGUACUCGAGUGGCGAACGGGUGAGUAACACGUGGGUGAUCCGCCCUGCACUUCGGGAUAAGCCUGGGAAACUGGGUCUAAUACCGGAUAGGACGAUGGUUUGGAUGCCAUUGUGGAAAGUUUUUCGGUGUGGGAUGAGCUCGCGGCCUAUCAGCUUGUUGGUGGGGUAAUGGCCUACCAAGGCGUCGACGGGUAGCCGGCCUGAGAGGGUGUACGGCCACAUUGGGACUGAGAUACGGCCCAGACUCCUACGGGAGGCAGCAGUGGGGAAUAUUGCACAAUGGGCGCAAGCCUGAUGCAGCGACGCCGCGUGGGGGAUGACGGCCUUCGGGUUGUAAACUCCUUUCGCUAGGGACGAAGCGCAAGUGACGGUACCUGGAGAAGAAGCACCGGCUAACUACGUG